rnacentral:rRNA from 1 species
GACGAACGCUGGCGGCGUGCUUAACACAUGCAAGUCGAACGGAAAGGCCCUGCUUUUGUGGGGUGCUCGAGUGGCGAACGGGUGAGUAACACGUGAGUAACCUGUCCUUGACUUUGGGAUAACUUCAGGAAACUGGGGCUAAUACCGGAUAGGAGCUCCUGCUGCAUGGUGGGCGUUGGAAAGUUUCGGCGGUUGGGGAUGGACUCGCGGCUUAUCAGCUUGUUGGUGGGGUAGUGGCUUACCAAGGCUUUGACGGGUAGCCGGCCUGAGAGGGUGACCGGCCACAUUGGGACUGAGAUACGGCCCAGACUCCUACGGGAGGCAGCAGUGGGGAAUAUUGCACAAUGGGCGGAAGCCUGAUGCAGCAACGCCGCGUGCGGGAUGACGGCCUUCGGGUUGUAAACCGCUUUCGCCUGUGACGAAGCGUGAGUGACGGUAAUGGGUAAAGAAGCACCGGCUAACUACGUG